UUACCCGUGCUUUCCCAAGCCUGGAAGAACUCGUCAUGCUCUUUGUAGCGUGGUGCUUCUGUUGCUCACAGGUCUGCUGCUACCAGCUAGUCCAAGCCACCACCAGCUCUGCCAUGGAGCCUUUUAAUUGGACUCCCUGCUUCCAUUCUUGUCCUUUCUAGAGAAAUCUUUAACAAAAAGCAAGUCAUACUGUGUCAUUUCCUGAUUGAAACCUUCAGCAUCUUCUCUUACACUUUGAGUAAAAUCCAGACUCCCUACCAUACCUACAAAACCUGCAUGAUGAAGACCCUGCCCUCUUGCCUGGCCUCCUCUUCCACACCUCAUUCACGAGCCUGCCUUCUGCUUCUUGAAGAUACCGAGCCUGUGGCUGCCUCAGGGCCUUGGCGUGUUUGGCGUGCCCUUCCCCUGGUUUUCAAAUGAUCCCUCCAGUCUCACAUGUCACCUUGGCAGAGGUGCCGUUCUUCACUGCCACAUUAAAAUUGCGCUUCCCCCUUUCAUAUUCUAAGUGGUUCAGAUUUACUUUCCCGGAGUAGUCACAGGACUGGGCAGUGA
rnacentral:lncRNA from 1 species